CUGAUCCUCCCAGUCCUGAAAGUCCAAAAUAAUAGUUUGGAGUGGGUAUCCCCUCUCUCUCCUCCACCCUCUGCUCUUCUUAGGGUUUUCUGGAUGUAGGUAUACCUUAUUUGGAUAAACAUCUUUUCUUUCUUUAUGUGAAGAAUGUGCCUUGGCAACCAUUGUGGAGAAGCCCAGCACAGCCUUUCAUGAGCCAGAAAGGUUAAAACUGAGCUGACAGGACAGCCCCAGCUCUCUGCUGUUGGACAUUUUUUUUUCUGCCUUUUCAUCACAAUUGCAAUCAGAACACUACCUGCUUUCAGCAGCAACAGAAACAGCUGGAGCACCCGUUUUGAUGAGGGAUUACUCUUCAGUAUUUAUAGUAACACCCAUUUCACCAAGUGGAGCCCAAAAGAAGGAAAAAAAAACAAACAUCUGACUUUUCUUAUAACAGGUUCCAGUGUGGACAAUUCAAGAAAAUUAGGAUUUCACAGAAGACUAAGAAAUGUCUGUAGCAGAGAAUUUUGCCUGGGAAGACUAAGCCAUUGGGUUAUUACCAUGCUCUGGGGCCUCUGAAGAGCUAAUGAAUCCUAAAAGGAGAGACAUGGGGACUGGUCUGGCAAAUAUCAUUUUUCAUUAUUUCUGCUCCAGGAGAGUUCAUCUAUACGUAGAAGAGGCACUAUCCUUGAUACUAUCAGCAUGUUUUUCUUACUAUAAGUGAUCAGAUCCAGUCUCAACUCACUCGAAAUUACCUUAAUUAUUAACAAGACUACAAUCAUUCUCUCUGUACUUCUUGGUCCUUCAAAUCAGGGCAGCAAUGUCAUUGUCCGCAUAAUCAAAUUGGAAGAUUUCAUUCUCUGGCUAUAAUCUGCAUGAUUAACUAAUUUCCUAUGCAACAUUAACUCCCAGAUACUGGAUGUAUCAUUAUUGGUCACUGUUUGGUUACUAUGUUUGAUAUUGUCAUCUUUGUUUGCUGUGUUCAAACCUUUUUCUAAUGAGGGCAAAUAUAAAGAAUGAUGGCAAGAUGUCCCAAGAACUGUAAAUAUGGAAAAUAUUCUUUCAACCAGUGAGUUCUAGAUACCUCGUCAUUCAUUGUGUAAAAGGAAAGGUGAUCAGAAAAGCAUGAGGAUUAUUUUCUGGGUAAAUUGAACAAUGACUACAUUGGGUAAUGGAAUUGCCUUUUUUCUUUACUUUUGAGGACUGAACCCAGGACUCAACCCACUAAGCUACAUCCCCAUCCCUUUUUAAUUUUUUAUUUUGAGACAGAGUCUCUGACCUUGAACUUAUAAUUCUUCUGCCUCAGCCUCUUAAGUAGCUGGGAUUACAGAUGUGAGCCACUGUUACCGCUGUUGGCCAGUGACCAGUCCUUGCUUCCCCGAUGUUGAAGAAUAACACCAGAAAAGCACACCGAGACAAGGUCAGGGUAGAAAUUAGAAGUUUAUUAAAGGACAGCAGCAAAGACUUCUCCCAGAGGAAGAAGGGGACCCAAGAGGUGGAAUCCGGUGAAGGGCAAAUGUGUUCCACUUUUUAUAGGUUUGGUGAUGGAAUGUAAGGGGGAAGGGUUAGGACACAGGUGAGCCAAACAAGUAAUCUGGGCAGGAAGGACUUCAUUAUCACUUUUUUUGGGAUGGGUUUAUCACUUCUUUGGGAUGAGCUAUCUCCAAAUCUGUUGGGGGCUGUUUCCUGGGUUCCAUUAACAUUUCUUUGGGGUGGACUUUGGCCUAGGGCCUUUCCCGGACUUCAUUAACAUUCCAUGAGUUGUCCUCCCGGAAUCAUUGUCAGCAUAGCCUCCAUUUUAGAUUUUACUCGGUAUUAGACCCGAUUUACCUAACUACACUGACUACCUAAUUUUAAAUCUGGCUUCACCACCAUGCCCAACUUCUUUUUCCUGUUAAUCAAAUAUU